GACAGAGGCCUCAAGCGUUUAGGCGGAAUCACUGGGCUUAAAGCGUGUGUAGGCGGAUCGUUAAGUGUCUUGUGAAAUCCCACGGCUCACCCGUGGAACUGCUGGGCAUACUGGCGAUCUUGGGCCAACUAGGGGCAACUGGAACAAGCGGUGGAGCGGUGAAAUGCGUAGAUAAUCGCUUGGAACGCCAAAGGGUGAAAACAGGUUGC
rnacentral:rRNA from 1 species